rnacentral:lncRNA from 1 species
GUGUUAAGCUACCAGAGCAAGUGAAGGAGCAAAGCCAGGUGGCGGCUGGAUCAGGCAGGUUCACGCUGUGGCUCCCCACAUGCGGGAUUCUUUUCUCUUAGGUUCUACGACAUCUCUUGCAUUACCUAGAUGCUUUCUGGAUUUAAUGUGGACCAGUUGGAUACCAAGCAUCUGUAAUUCAAAAAGUUCAAAUAAGGGUUAUAGGCCUUAAAGGGGAGGUAAAUAGAGAGAUCAGAAUAGAAAGUUUAUUCAAAGGAAUAAUAACAGAGAACUUCCCAAACCUAGAGAAGAUAUCAAUAUUCAAGUACAAGAAAGUUAUAGAACACCAAGCAGAUUUAAUCCAAAUAAGACUACCUCAUGACAUUUAAUAAUCAGACUUCCAAAGGUCAAGGACAAAGAAAGGAUCCUAAAAGCAGCAAGAGAAAGAAACAAAUAACAUACAAUGGAGCUCCAAUACAUCUGGCAGCAGACUUCUCAGUGGAAACCUUACAGGCCAAGAAGGAGUGGUGUGACAUAUUUAAAGUGCUAAAGAAAAAAACCUUUUAUCCUAAAAUGGUAUGUCCAACAAAAAUAUACCUUAAACAUGAAGGGGAAAUAAAGACUCCUCCACUGUACCCCAGACAAAAAAAAAAGAGGCCAAGGGAUUUCAUCAAUGCUAGACCUGUCUUACAAGGAAUGCUAAAGGGAGUUUUUCAAUCUGAAAGAAAGGGACGUUAAUGAGCAAUAGGAAAUCAUCUGAAGGUUCAAAACUCACUGGUAAUAGUAAGAACACAGAAAACAACAGAAUAUUAUAACACUGUAAUUGUGGUGUGUAAACUAGUCAUAUCUUGAGUAGAAAGACUAAAAGAUGAGCCUAUCAAAAAUAGCCACAACAACUUUUCAAGACAUAGUACAAUAAGACAUAAAUAGAAACAACAAAAAGUUAAAAAGUAGGGGAUGGAGUUAAAGUGUAGAGUUUUUAUUAGUUUUCUCUUUGCUUAUUAGUUUGUUUAUGCAAUCACUAUUAUCAGCUUAAAAUAAUCAGUUAUAAGACUAGUUAUAUAUGCAGGCCUCAUGGUAACCUCAAAUAAAAAAACACACACAAAAAAUGAAAAGCAGAAAAUUAAAACAUACCACCAGAGAAAAUCACCUUUACUAAAAGAAAGACAGGAAGAAAGGAAAAAAGGAAGAGAAGACUAUGAAAUAACCAGAAGACAAACAACAAAAUGGCAGAAAUUCAUUCUUAACAUGGAAUGUAAAUGGACUAAAUUCUCCAAUCAAAAGAUACCGAGUGGCUGAAUAUUAAUAGAUCUUAAAAAACAAAACCCAAUGAUCUGUUGCUUACAAGGAACACACUUCAUAUAUAAAGUCGCACAUGGACUGAAAAUGAAGAGAUGGAAAAAGAUACUUUAUGCAAAUGGAAACCAGAAAAGAGCAGAGAUAAAAAAAGAGAUAUUACAACUAAUAUUGCAGAAAUUCAAAGGAUCAUUAGAGGUUACUAUGAGAAACUCUCUGCCAAUAAAUUGGAAAACCUAGAAGAAAUGGAUAAAUUCCUAGACACAUAAAACCUACUGAGAUUGAACCACGAAGAAAUCCAACAGCUGAACAGACCAAUAACAAGUGAUGAGAUCAAAGCCAUAAUAAAAAGUCUCCCAGUAAAGAAAAGCCUAGGACCUAAUGGCUUCACUCGUGAAUUUUACCAAACAUUUAAAGAACUAAUACCAGUCCUACUCAAACUAUUCUGAAAAAUAGGGGAGGAAAUAUCUCCAAACUCAUUCUACAAGGCCAUUAUUACCCUGACAGCAAAACUAGACAAAGAUACAUCAAAUAAAGAAAACCACAGGCCAAUAUCCCUGAUGAAUCUUGAUGCAGAAAUCCUCAAAAUAAUAUUAACAAACCAAAUUCAACAACACAUUGAAACUUCAUUCAUCAUGACCAAGUGGAAUUUAUCCCAGAGAUGCAAGGAUGGUUCAAAACAUGCAGAUCAAUCAAUAUGAUGCAUCAUAUCAACAGAAUAAAAACAAAAACCAUACGAUCCUUUCAACUGAUGCAGAAAGGCAUUUGACAAAAUUCAACAUCCCUUCAUGAUAAAACCCUAAAAAAAACUGGGUAUAGAAGUAACAUACCUCAAGAUAAUAAAAGCCAUAUAUGACAGGCCCACAGCUAGUGUCAUAGGCAAUGAGGAAAAACUGAAAGCCUUUACUCUAAGAUCUGAAACAAGACAAGGAUGCCCACUUUCACCACUGUUAUUCUACAUAGUACUGGAAGUCCUAGCUAGAAAAAUCAGAUAAAACACAGAAAUAAAGGGGAUCCAAAUUGGAAAGGAAGAGUUAAAUUAUCCUUGUUGGCAGAUAAUAGAAUCCUAUAUUUGGAAAAACCUAAAGACUCUACCAAAAAACUAUUAGAACUGAUGAACAGCCAGACACAGUGGCUCCCACCUGUAAUCCCAGCACUUUGGGAGGCCAAGGCAGGUGGAUCACCUAAGGUCAGGGGUUUGAGACCAGCCUGGCCAACAUGGUGAAACCCUGUCUCUACUAAAAAUACAAAAAUUAGCUGGCUGUGGUGGUGUGUGCCUGUAAUCCCGCCUACUUGGGAGGCUGAGGCAGGAGAAUUGCUUGAACCUGGGAGGUGGAGGCUGCAGUGAGCUGAGAUCGUGCUACUGCACUCUAGCCUAGACGACAGAGUAAGACUCUGUCUCAAAAACAAAAAAAAGAAAAAAGAACUGAUGAACAAAUUCAGUGAAGUUGCAGGAUACAAAAUCAACAUACAAAAAUCAGUAGCAUUUCUAUAUGUCAAUAUUGAACAAUCUGAAAAAGAAAUUAAGAAAGUAAUCCCAUUUAUAUCAGCUAAAAAUAAAAUAAAAUAUCUAGGAAUGAACUUAACCAAAGAAGUGAAAUGGGCAUGGUGGCUCAUCCCUAUAAUCCCAGCAAUUUGAGAGAACAAGGUGGGAGGAUCACUUGAGCCCAGGAGUUCAAGACCAGCCUGGAUAACAUAGCAAGACCUCAUCUCUACUAAAAGUAAAAAAGUUAGCUGGGUGUGGUGGUGCAUGCUUGUAGUCCCAGAUACUCAGGAGGCCGAGUUAGAAGGAUCACUUGAGCAAAGUAGUUUCAGAUUGCAGUGAGCUAUGAUAAUACUACUGCACUCCAUACUUCAGCCUGGGCAACAGAGAGAGACCACCUUGUCUCAAAAAAAAAAAAAAAAAAAAAAAGGAAGAAGAAGUGAAAGAGCUCUACGAUGAAAACUAUCAAGCAAUGAUGCAAGAAGUUGAAGACACACAAAAAAAUGGAAAGAUAUUUCAUGUUCUCGGAUUGGAAGAAUCAAUAUUGUUAAAAAUGUGCAUACUACCCAAAGCAAUCUACAGAUUCAAUGUAAUCUCUAUUAAAAUACCAAUGACGUUGUUCUCCAAAAUAGAAAAAAAAUCCUAAAAUUUACGUGAAACCACAAAAGUACCAGAGUAGCCAAAGCUAUCCUGAGCAAAAAGAAUAAAACUUGAGGAAUCACAUUACCUGACUUCAAAUUGUACUACAGAGCUAUAGUAAUCAAAACAGCACAGUAAUGGCAUGACAGACACAUAGACCAUGGAAAAGAAUAGAGAAUCCAGGCCAGGCACAGUGGCUCACACCUGUAAUCCCAGCACUUUGGGAGGCCGAGGCAGGCAGACCACGAGGUUAGGGAUUCGAGACCAGCCUGACCAACAUGGUGAAAUCCCGUCUCUACUAAAAAAAAAAAAAUACAAAAAUUAGCUGGGCGUGGUGGUGCACGCCUGUAAUCCCAGCUACUCAGGAGGCUGAGGCAGGAGAAUCGCUUGAACCUGGGAGGCAGAGGUUGCAGUGAGCCAAGAUUGCGCCAUUGCACUCCAGCCUGGCCUGGGCGACAGAGUGAGACUCCAUCUCAAAAAAAAAAAAAAAAAGAAUAGAGAAUCCAGAAAUAAAUCCAUGCAUCUAUAGUGAACUCGUUUUUGACAAAAGUGCCAGGAACACACAUUGGGAAAAGGACUGUCUCUUCAAUACAUGGUCCUGGGAAAACUGGAUAUCCAUAUGCAGAAGAAUGAAACUAGACUCUUAUCUCUCACCGUAUACAAAAAUCAAAUCAAGAUGGAGUAAACACUUAAAUUUAAGACCUCAAAUUAUGAAAACACUUUAAGAAAACAUUGAGGAAACUCUACAGGACAUUGGUCUGGGCAAAGAUUUCUUGAGUAAUGCUCCACAAGCACAGGCAACCAAAGCAAAAAUACACAAAUGGGAUCACUUCAAGUUCAAAAGCUUCUGCACAGCAAAGGAAACAACAAAGUGAAGAGACAACCCACAGAAUGGGAGAACGUAUUUGCAAGCUAUCCAUUUAACAAGGGAUUAAUAUCCAGAAUAUAUAAGGAGCUCACACAACUCAAUAGGAAAAAAAUCUAAUUAUUCAAUUUAAAAAUGGACAAAAUAUCUGAAUAGACAUUUCUUUAAAGAAUAUAUACAAGCCAGGUGCAGUGGCUCAUGCCUGUAAUCCCAGCACUUUGGGAGGCCGAGGUGAGGGGAUCACUUGAGGUCAGGAGUUUGAGACUGGCCUGAUCAACAUGGUGAAGCCCCAUCUCUACUAAAAACACAAAAGUUAUCCAGGCAUGGUGGCGCAUGCCUGUAAUCCCAGCUACUCGGGAGGCUAAGGAAGGAGAAUUGCUUGAACCCAGGAGGCAGAGGUUGCAGUGAGCCGAGAUCAUGCCACUGCACUCCAGCCUGGGUGACGGAAUGAGACUCUAUCUCAGAAAAAACAAAAAAAAAAGAUAUACAAAUAAUCAACAGGUAUAUGAAAAGGUGCUCUACAUCAUUGAUCAACAGAAAUGCAAAUCAAAACAGCAAUGAGAUAUCAAUCACCCAGCUAAAAUGGCUUCUAUCCAAAAGAUAAGCAAUAAUGAAUGCUGGAGAGGAUAUGGAGAAAAAGGAAACCUUGUACACUUUUGGUAGAAAUGUGUGUUAGUACAACCACUAUGGAGAAGAGUUUGGAGGCUCCUCAAAAGACUAAACAUAGAAUUACCACAAGAUCCAGCAAUCCCACUGCUAGGUAUAUGCCCAAAAGAAAGGGAAUCAGUAUAUCCGAGAAAUGUCUGACUCCCAUGUUUAUUGCAGCACUAUUCACAAUAGCCAAGAUCUGAAAGCAACCUAACUGUCCAUCAACAGAUGAAUGGAUAAAGAAAAUGUGGUAUGUAUACAUGGUGGAGAACUAUUCAGCCAUAAAAAAGAAAAAAGAGUUCCUGUCAUUUGCAACAACAUGGAUAGAACUGGAGAUCAUUAUAUUAAGUGAAAUAAGCCAGGCACAGAAAGACAAACUUCACAUGUUCUCACUCAUUUGUGGGAGAUAAAAAUUAAAACAAUUGAACUCAUGGAGAUAGAAGAAGGAUGGUUACCAGAGGCUAGGAAGGGUAGUCGGAGGCAGGGGAAAGUGGGGAUGGUUAACGGGUACAAAAAUAAAGUUAGAGAGAAUGAAUAAGAUCUAGUAUUUGGUAGCGUAACAGGGUGACUACAGUCAAUGAUAAUUUAUUGUACAUCUUUAAGUAGUUGAAAGAGUAUAGUUGGAAUGUUUGUAACACAAAGAAAUGCUAAAUGCUUGAGGUAAUGGAAACCCCAUUUACAUGGAUGUGAUUAUUAUGCAUUGCAUGCCUGUAUCAAAAUAUCUCAUAUAUGCCAUAAAUAUAUUUGCCUACUGUGGACCCACAAAAAUGAAAAAUUAAAAUUGAAAAAAAAAAUGUUUAAAACUGAACUCGUCAUUUUCUCCCCCAAAACUUUGUCCUGAACUCUCUAUCUCUCUUGACUACACCUCCACCCACUCAGCUACUCCGUAAGCCUGAAAGUGAGUGAUCCCAGACUCCUAUCCAUCCCCAUA